UCUGGUUGAUCCUGCCGGAGGUCACUGCUAUCGGUGUUCGUCUAAGCCAUGCGAGUCAUAUGUUCUUUGUGAACAUGGCGUACUGCUCAGUAACACGUGGAUAACCUGCCCUUGGGUUCGGCAUAACCCCGGGAAACUGGGGAUAAUACCGGAUAACGCAUAUAUGCUGGAAUUCUUUAUGCGUGAAAUGGAUUCGUCUGCCCAAGGAUGGGUCUGCGGCCUAUCAGGUAGUAGUGGGUGUAAUGUACCUACUAGCCGACGACGGGUACGGGUUGUGAGAGCAAGAGCCCGGAGAUGGAUUCUGAGACAUGAAUCCAGGCCCUACGGGGCGCAGCAGGCGCGAAAACUUUACAAUGCGGGAAACCGUGAUAAGGGGACACCGAGUGCCAGCAUCAUAUGUUGGCUGUCCAGGUGUGUAAAAUACACCUGUUAGCAAGGGCCGGGCAAGACCGGUGCCAGCCGCCGCGGUAACACCGGCGGCCCGAGUGGUGAUCGUGAUUAUUGGGUCUAAAGGGUCCGUAGCCGGUUUGGUCAGUCCUCCGGGAAAUCUGACGGCUUAACCGUCAGGCUUUCGGGGGAUACUGCCAGACUUGGAACCGGGAGAGGUAAGAGGUACUACAGGGGUAGGAGUGAAAUCUUGUAAUCCCUGUGGGACCACCUGUGGCGAAGGCGUCUUACCAGAACGGGUUCGACGGUGAGGGACGAAAGCUGGGGGCACGAACCGGAUUAGAUACCCGGGUAGUCCCAGCCGUAAACGAUGCUCGCUAGGUGUCAGGCAUGGCGCGACCGUGUCUGGUGCCGCAGGGAAGCCGUGAAGCGAGCCACCUGGGAAGUACGGCCGCAAGGCUGAAACUUAAAGGAAUUGGCGGGGGAGCACAACAACGGGUGGAGCCUGCGGUUUAAUUGGACUCAACGCCGGACAACUCACCGGGGGCGACAGCAAUAUGUAGGUCAGGCUGAAGACCUUGCCUGAAUCGCUGAGAGGAGGUGCAUGGCCGUCGCCAGUUCGUACUGUGAAGCAUCCUGUUAAGUCAGGCAACGAGCGAGACCCA
rnacentral:rRNA from 1 species